GAACAGCUGCUUCUGUUACCUUUGCUGGUUCCUCUCCAUGACCUCUCAGCCCAGGGACAGCAAGUUAAACUCAGUCUGAAGUGAGAGGGAUUUCCUAGUCAUUAACUGACUUGUUAUCCUGGUGAGAGAAGGUUGUCAGAGCAUCAGGCACAUGGUGACUCCAUGAGCAGAAUAGAGUGACAUCAGAAUGGCAGCUUGGGAAAAGCAACCUCUGUUGAGAGUUUGCUUUUGAAGGCACUUGGUUGAGGUGCUGCUGCUCUGAAGAAAAAAAGGCACCAGGGUUAUCACAACCCAGUUUCUAAUGAGAUGUCAUGAUUUCCAAUGAAGAGUGGCCCCACCCAGCUCCAUGGUAUCAGAUGGUCUCUCUCCUGGGGGGCUGAAAUCUCUGCCACCCUUAUUCUCUGCCUGUGUCUGAGGCUGCAGUGGGCUAGGUGUGUAUGGGUGUGCCCUUACACCUGUGGAUGCAUGCUGGUGAGUGGGUGCUUGGGGCCAGUGUGUCAGUUCAAGUGCCCUUUUAGAUAGGCCGCACCAUACUCAAUACAUCCAUGAACAGCUGGAUCCCAGAGAAGAGACAGAAGAGAGAUGGUCCUCACCACCUCCACCCCAACUAGGAGUGAUUGAAAGAGGAAACACCUCUUGAAGAUGCAGAGGGAGAACAAGUCUGAUGCUUGCACUGGAAAGAUGCAAGGGAUAGAGAAAAAGCCUGCUCUCUGAUCUAGAAGCUACUAGAUGGGGCCAGCCAAAGACAGCAGCAAGUCACUGGGCUCCCAUCAAAAAGAUCCUAGAAAAGGAAGAAUGAAAGAGGAUUGGACAUCAGGGCCUGCUGGGGGAAGGUGAAUCAGGGAGCUGAGAUA